GAACAAGUUUUGAGCGGCGAAGGGAGAAUUAUGGCACGCAGCUUUCGGCCUCUGUCUUGUUGUAGUCCUCCAAAAAUUGAUGCCAACUUUCCACAUUUUUAGCGACAGUUUGCCCGCGUCCUCCGCCUUGAACAGUGAGAGAAAAGCCGAGACAACUGAGUGGAAAUCGGCCAGAGAAAACCAGCAAAAUAAAUGGGAAAGAGUGCUGGGGAAAAAAAGGGUUUUUCCUGGAUGAAAGUAUAAAUUUUCCCUAAUUCUCGAUUCCCUUGUGCGUUUGUGUGCCUCCUUGAGAGUUUCAAUUUUUAUGGAAAUCAGUGUAAUGCCAUUUCGGUGGAAAAAGGACAAUUGAUAAUGAGUCAUUCGAACGGAAUUCGAAUGGCAUUUCAGUGGCAAAGGGCCAAAAGGCAAAUUAAGUGCUCGCAUUGAUGCUUAAUUAAGAACUGGGAAUUUUUAUGGCUUUCGCAAGGAAUUUAAGAGAGGGAAAAUCACAACGACUUCUGGGGACUCCCGCCCAAAAAGGCAGACGGCAGUCGUAACCGUACUCUAUACUAGAGACCCCAAACCCCGGAGAACCAAAGAACCAAAGAGCCGAGGACCCCAAAGAAUUGGAAGAGACACACUGUGGAACGAACCACAAAGGCAACAUGUUGCACAUGCACUCGGCAAAAAGCAAUUUGCAUACAAAUGUUGCCAACGCACUUCAAAAACUGCACAAUCACAGGGGUUUUUUUUUUGAGGGGGAGGGGG